GCGGCGCGCCUAACACAUGCAAGUCGAACGGAGCUUAGAGAGCUUGCUUUUUAAGCUUAGUAGGCGAACGGGAGAGUAACGCGAGAGGAACCUGCCCUAGAGUGGGGGACAACAGUUGGAAACGACUGCUAAUACCGCAUAAGCCCACGGUACCGCAUGGUACUGAGGGAAAAGGAUUUAUUCGCUUUAAGAUGGACUCGCGUCCAAUUAGCUAGUUGGUGAGGUAACGGCCCACCAAGGCAACGAUUGGUAGCCGGACUGAGAGGUUGAACGGCCACAUUGGGACUGAGACACGGCCCAGACUCCUACGGAAGGCAGCAGAGGGGGAUAUUGCACAAUGGGGGAAACCCUGAUGCAGCGACGCCGCGAGGAGGAAGAAAGGUUUUCGGAUUGUAAACUCCUGUCGUUAGGGACGAUAAUGACGGUACCUAACAAGAAAGCACCGGCUAACUACGUGCCAGCAGCCGCGGUAAAACGUAGGGUGCAAGCGUUGUCCGGAAUUACUGGGUGUAAAGGGAGCGCAGGCGGGAAGACAAGUUGGAAGUGAAAACCAUGGGCUCAACCCAUGAAUUGCUUUCAAAACUGUUUUUCUUGAGUAGUGCAGAGGUAGAUGGAAUUCCCGGUGUAGCGGUGGAAUGCGUAGAUAUCGGGAGGAACACCAGUGGCGAAGGCGGUCUACUGGGCACCAACUGACGCUGAGGCUCGAAAGCAUGGGUAGCAAACAAGAUUAGAUACCCUGGUAGUCCAUGC
rnacentral:rRNA from 1 species